rnacentral:lncRNA from 1 species
UUCCUAGCAAAGAAGACCUUCCAAUUUUUAGAGGACAUUUACCUUCCAGUUAUCAAACAGGUCCAAGGUUACAAAAUGACAUAAAGUGCUUACAUAUGAUCUCCACAAAACAAGAGUGGAUGAUCAAAAGACAACAAAAUUUCUAAAAAAAGGUACUGAAAUGAAUAAAAUAAUCAAUCUCAUUUUUAUGCAUAAUAAC